GGAAUAGAGAUGGAGGGGUUGUGUAACAGAGGAAUAGAGAUGGAGGGGUUGUGUAACAGAGGAAUAGAGAUGGAGGGGUUGUGUAAUAGAGGAAUAGAGAUGGAGGGGUUGUGUAACAGAGGAAUAGAGAUGGAGGGGUUGUUUAACAGAGUAAUAGAGAUGGAGGGGUUGUGUAAUACAGGAAUAGAGAUGGAGGGGUUGUGUAAUACAGGAAUAGAGAUGGGGGGGGGUUGUGUAACAGAGGAAUAGAGAUGGAGGGGUUGUGUAACAGAGGAAUAGAGAUGGGGGUUGUGUAACAGAGGAAUAGAGAUGGGAGGGGUUGUGUAACAGAGGAAUAGAGAUGGGGGGGUUGUGUAACAGAGGAAUAGAGAUGGAGGGGUUGUGUAACAGAGGAAUAGAGAUGGGGGGUUGUGUAACAGAGGAAUAGAGAUGGGGGGGUUGUGUAACAGAGGAAUAGAGAUGGAGGGGUUGUGUAACAGAGGAAUAGAGAUGGGGGGGUUGUGUAACAGAGGAAUAGAGAUGGAGGGGUUGUGUAAUACAGGAAUAGAGAUGGAGGGGUUGUGUAACAGAGGAAUAGAGAUGGAGGGAUUGUGAGGAAUAGAGAUGGAGGGGUUGUGUAACAGAGGAAUAGAGAUGGAGGGGUUGUGUAAUAGAGGAAUAGAGAUGGAGGGGUUGUGUAACAGAGGAAUAGAGAUGG
ensembl:lncRNA